AGAGUUUGAUCCUGGCUCAGGACGAACGCUGGCGGCGUGCCUAAUACAUGCAAGUAGAACGCUGAAGAGAGGAGCUUGCUCUUCUUGGAUGAGUUGCGAACGGGUGAGUAACGCGUAGGUAACCUGCCUUGUAGCGGGGGAUAACUAUUGGAAACGAUAGCUAAUACCGCAUAACAAUGGAUGACACAUGUCAUUUAUUUGAAAGGGGCAAUUGCUCCACUACAAGAUGGACCUGCGUUGUAUUAGCUAGUAGGUGAGGUAAUGGCUCACCUAGGCGACGAUACAUAGCCGACCUGAGAGGGUGAUCGGCCACACUGGGACUGAGACACGGCCCAGACUCCUACGGGAGGCAGCAGUAGGGAAUCUUCGGCAAUGGGGGCAACCCUGACCGAGCAACGCCGCGUGAGUGAAGAAGGUUUUCGGAUCGUAAAGCUCUGUUGUAAGUCAAGAACGGGUGUGAGAGUGGAAAGUUCACACUGUGACGGUAGCUUACCAGAAAGGGACGGCUAACUACGUGCCAGCAGCCGCGGUAAUACGUAGGUCCCGAGCGUUGUCCGGAUUUAUUGGGCGUAAAGCGAGCGCAGGCGGUUUGAUAAGUCUGAAGUUAAAGGCUGUGGCUCAACCAUAGUUCGCUUUGGAAACUGUCAAACUUGAGUGCAGAAGGGGAGAGUGGAAUUCCAUGUGUAGCGGUGAAAUGCGUAGAUAUAUGGAGGAACACCGGUGGCGAAAGCGGCUCUCUGGUCUGUAACUGACACUGAGGCUCGAAAGCGUGGGGAGCAAACAGGAUUAGAUACCCUGGUAGUCCACGC
rnacentral:rRNA from 1 species